rnacentral:rRNA from 1 species
AGGUUUUCGGAUCGUAAAGCUCUGUUGCCAGGGAAGAACGCUUGGGAGAGUAACUGCUCUCAAGGUGACGGUACCUGAGAAGAAAGCCCCGGCUAACUACGUGCCAGCAGCCGCGGUAAUACGUAGGGGGCAAGCGUUGUCCGGAAUUAUUGGGCGUAAAGCGCGCGCAGGCGGUCAUUUAAGUCUGGUGUUUAAUCCCGGGGCUCAACCCCGGAUCGCACUGGAAACUGGGUGACUUGAGUGCAGAAGAGGAGAGUGGAAUUCCACGUGUAGCGGUGAAAUGCGUAGAUAUGUGGAGGAACACCAGUGGCGAAGGCGACUCUCUGGGCUGUAACUGACGCUGAGGCGCGAAAGCGUGGGGAGCAAACAGGAUUAGAUACCCUG